UUCUAACCAGCCGCUCAUGAGUUAUAUUCCCUCUCAAAAUCCCUCAAAACCUUAUUUAACAAAUAAACCUACAGGAUUUUAGCAUCUCAACAAAAUCAAAUCAUCAUCCAAACCCUCCUUCCUCACCUCUUCUCCACUCAUCUCCCUCUCUCGGCAGACACAAGGCCGAGCUCUGGCCAACCCAAUCCGAUUCUAACACAUCUCGACACCCUCACAUAUCGACAACAGCGUAACACCCUCCGAACCACCUUCACGUCGCCGGAGAACCAACCUCAUCGGAUAAGCUCACCGGAGCUUUACCGGAGAUCGAAGAUCACGUCGGAACUCGGAACUCUCGUCGGAAGGAGAUCCACUCGCGUUGUUUUCGGGUGAUUUGCUACUUUUUGGAUUCCUUCAUCUUUACUCGUUCAUUAUUUCCAAGAAAUCUCCUUACGCAACCACUGUUGGGAUUGGGUGCUACUGGGUUUUGCAUGGGUUCCUCUAUUGGAUCCCCAAAUCACCCAAGGAUGAAUUCUAGUUUCGAUCACUCAAAUUCAACAUUUUUCAUUACGGUUAUGAUAAAUCAACAUGGGGCUUUUGCUCUAAGGUAAACACCGACGAGGAUUCCGGCGUGUGCUCGGCCGGAAUUUGGUGAAGAAAUUUAUGUUUGGGUUAAAAAAAGGAGACAUUUAUGCAUCGUUAUGAUAUCUUCUUCGAAUCGUGCAUCAUCCUCUUCUUCGAAUGCAAAAGGUGAAGAUCGAACUUCAAGCAGGUGUUGGAACUUCAAUGGCAGUUGAUGCUGCUGCUGGGGAUGCACAAGCAGAGUAAUCUGCCGUCGCCGGCACCACCAAUCUUCUUCUCUUCAUCAUCUUACGGUGGCGGGUAUGAAGAGGUGUAGGGCUGGGUGUCUGGGUUAAGAGAAAUAGUGGAAAUAUCUUUGUUGCCUACACUUGAUUAAACUUCAGAAAACAUUUGUUGUUUGCAAAUAUCUUUUUUAACAAAGUAUUUAAUUCAAAAGUCAAAUUUGAAGUUUGUUUGGUUUUUUGAGUUUGAUAAACAAAAGGCAUUUGAAGUUGUUGAAUUCAAAAGUCAAUUAUCAAAUUUGAAGUUUGUUGUUUCACGAUGCAGAUUGUUUUUCAACAGAGUUUUUUGAAUUAAGGGUAAAUUUCUUUUUAAUUCCCUAUGUUUUAUAAGGGUAAUUUGGUCAUUUAAUAAAAUUUAACAACAAAAUUCUAACUGGGUUAGAAAUUUGGACUCAAAUGGUUAAAGAAAAUGCUUAUGAGGACUCAGGUCGUUAAACUUUUUGCUUUUGAACUCAACUAGUUAAAACCCAUAAAACACAGGGACUCAAAAAGUAAUUUACCCUUAAAAAUUUAGAAGGGUCCCAAAACAUAUACAUUUUUUUAUUUAGUUUUUCUUAUGUAUCUAAAUUAACCUGUAAUAUAUGUUUUAUACUUGUGGGUUAUUAAAAUAGUUAUGCUGGUUCUUAGAUCUGGUCUAACCGGUCCGGCCAAUGAACCACUAAGGCGUCCGCUUCGAUAUCCGUUCCGGUUAUGAAAUCAUUGGUCUAUUAGCAUUAGAAAAUCUAGCCAUAUGAAUUACAUGUUUUAAACAAAUUAAACAUAUAAAUCCCAGAUAACAGCAUGUCCACAUACCUUCACAUUGAUAGUGUCAUUGACGACAAUUUUUUGCUCCAUUAAAACAACUUCCUCAAAAUACUUCCUUAAUCGACCUUCAACCAUCUUCUCUAUUGCUGCCUGGGGCCUACCCAAACUUUCAGCCUGGUAAAAGAAAAUCAUAUGCAAACAUUUAGAUUUAAGUAUGAUUAUCUGAUUAUUUUAAUCAUUCAAAAUCACAACUACAGCAAGUUUAAAAAAAAUAUGCAUUCUUAAAUAAAGCAGAUUUCAAAAUCACAUGCAUUGCCAAUUAUUUGGAAGCGGUUUGUUGAGGUUGAAUCAUCAACAGAAUGGAAAUGGUGGAUGGGUUGAUCUUUCCAUUUUUACACCUGGUUAGAGGUUCCGUUAAAACUUUAGUUUUUAAGUGUGUUAUAUUAUUAUUAUUAUAUAUUUUAAAUUGUAGCAAUACAAUUUAUUACUACUUGGUAGUUAAAUGAUUUAACUUAAAUCAUACAAGGUUGUGAGACUUCUUGUUUAAUGGUUGAUUUUGAUGAUCAAGAAAUGAAAUUAGUUAUGGUGUUUGGGUUGAGGGAUAUAUCAUUUUCAUCCGUCUCGUCCAAUGUUGUAAGCGUUAGUCGGUCGGUCGGGUAUGGGGUACUGACUAACGAUUAAUCUACAUCAAGAGCUGAUUGAGAUUUUUAUAUGUAAUUUUUAGUUAUAUCUAGGGGUGGUAACAAAAACCCAACCAUGAUAUUUUGGGUUAUUUUAGGCCUCUUUAAUAAGGA
rnacentral:lncRNA from 1 species